rnacentral:lncRNA from 1 species
AUGGCGGCCAUUGCCUCCCAGCAGAUCCCGUCGCUCCUAGUGGCCAGCCAUGGGCACCCUCCGCAUCUCAGCUGCCCCCCUCCACUUCAGCUUUGGCUUAGAGACAGCUGCUGGACCUCCUUCCCUUGGGUAGAGCCAAAUGACGGCGUGGCCUCUGAUUCCUUGAUGACAAUCCUGGCGGGUGAGAUGGUGAAGGCAAUUAUCCCACUGAGAAUGGACCCACCAUUGAUGGAUGAAGUGAGAGUGCAUGUGACACAUUCCCUGAUAUCUGCUAAAAGUUGA